CACUCAUUAAUCAAUAUUUCUUGUAGUAAACAACAUAUUUAAUGCAUUAUUCCAAGUAAACACCGGGAUUUACCGUUUUGCAUAGCUAUAAAAGCUAAUCAUAUACGGUUUUGUUUCAGUUCAGCUUAGAUCCGCUGAUUCGAAUUUCGUAUUUAAAUCUAUAAUAUUAUAGAAAAUGUUUUCCAUCAAAAGCUUUGUUGCUUUGUGCCUCUUAAUGUCUGUUUUGCUUAUGCAAGCACACGCCUUGACUGUUAUUUGCGGUUAUACAAGCGGAUGCGACUCUCAAUGUAAAAAUGGUGGAUAUAGUGGCGCAGACCUUGCACAGUGUUCCAUAAAUUUUGGAACUCAGCAAUAUUCUUGUCCUUGUAAAUAAAGCUUUUAAAACAGAAUAUGUUUUUUUAUAUAAUGUUUAUUAAGUAAAUGCUUAUACUAAGUGAGAGCAUGUAACUAUUUUAAUAAGAUGUUGAUCUAUGUAAUUUCAUGUAUCAAUUAUGUCUCAGCCAAAUAAAAAUAUUUUUAACCACGCCAAAAAUAA